UUCAGCAAUUUUAACUUUUACAGAAAGCUGGUUUCCAGACAUCCAUACUGAUGAGAAAGACUUGACAACGCAAAAGUCACAGUGUUGAACCUGACCCGGGAGCAACUCUGAGAAGUCUGGUUGAUCAUCAUAUAGCUUCAUCCAUGUUGACAAGGAAGACUCUGAAAAAAGACUCUGGCAUCCAUGGUGCCAGCAUGCUCAAGCCUAUUGCCUCCAGCAGUCCCGCUUCUGCUCUGUGAAGGGCUGUGGGAAUCACCAACCACUGCCCUUGCUCCAGCCACACUUGGAUAUCCCCACAAGCUUUGGCUUCAUCUGGGUUCAUAAGUAGUGGAAAGGCUGAGUUUUUCCAUGGAGCCAGCAGCAGAGGAUGGGAGGAAUCAGCAUGGCACAGAAGCUGAGACUCCUCACCACUGAGGCAGCAGUUGUGGUAAACAUAACUCAGCAUCCUUCCAGGAAGGGAUUUGCUCCCAGCAUGGACAGAUCAUCUGGCUGGGUUUGAGGACCAAUCCCAUGGUUUUCUUUGCAUAUGACAUGUAAGAGAAACCUAAAUGUAUUGAAGAAGUCUCCUCUUGUCCAGGUCCAUGCUCUGUUGGCCACCAUGUCCAGGAUGUAGUUCUCUCUAUGACAAACUUGCAGCCUAGCUCCCCACAGAACUCUGCUCCUCCAGCUCAUUUUGUCUGAUAGGCUGAGCAAUUCUGCAGCUGGUGUCAUGUUACACCCAGAUGAUUCUGUCAGCAGAAGACGUGGACUUUGCAUCAAAACACAAGCAAGCCAUAGGUGUCAGUGUGCAAAUGUGGGCUUGUCAGAAAACAAGGCUGCCAUCAUGAUGCCAAACAAGAGUCAAUUCCCUCCCAUGCAAAAUAGUGAAUAGGGAGUGGGAUACCACAUAUCUGAGAGGACAUGACAAGGGAAGAAACCACCCAUGUGUGAGACAGCAGGGAAAUAUUGGCCCCAAAAUACUGAUAUUAACUCCCACCUGAAAUAUUUUUGUGCAGAUGGAGCCAAAGAGAGUGUCUUUUACAAAUUGUACAAGAAAUGCAGGAAUAAUUAAUAACAGAAGAAUAAAAAGGUGAAUAUGACCUCGUGGUAGAGCAGGACCCUCAGCUCCUUUGUGUCAGCUCAGAGCAGAGGGCUGUGUGUCACACAAUGAACAGGCCUUCGGCUCCACUGCUCAACAGGGGGAAUCUUGGCCAUCCCAUUUUUCAGAGCUGGCAGCUGAGCCAUAGAAAAUGUGAAAAUCUUUUCCUCAGGGACUUUCUAGGAACUCAGUUCAGGAGGAUUCCCGUUGCUGAAAAGGACAGGCA